UACAGAGGUCUCAAGCGUUGUUCGGAUUCAUUGGGCGUAAAGGGUGCGUAGGCGGUGGGGCAAGUCAGGUGUGAAAUCCCGGAGCUCAACUCCGGAACUGCACUUGAUACUGCCUUGCUAGAGUACUGGAGAGGAGACUGGAAUUCCUGGUGUAGCGGUGAAAUGCGCAGAUAUCAGGAAGAACACCCGUGGCGAAGGCGGCUCUCUGGGACGGUACUGACGCUGAGACGCGAAAGCGUGGGGAGCGAACAGG
rnacentral:rRNA from 1 species